UCAAACUCUAUAAAUUCUCCUUCCCUCUCUCAAAUUCGGUUUCUGCUUCCUCUCUUCAAUUCCUUCACCAAACUCCAUAGUCUUCACCUUCUAUCACCGUAACCGUAACCUUCACUUUCUUCUCCAAUCUUCAACAUCAAGAACCACCACUUCAACUUCCUCUUCCCAACCGAGAUUCUUCUUCUUCAACCAAAACUUCACUCCAUCAUCUUCAACCAUCAUCAACCAACCUUCAAACCACCAUCAACUCCACCACUUCUCACAACCCUCAACCGUUCUAACAACCAUGACUUCACAAUCGCUUCAACCAACCACCAUUGAACAUCAACCUUCAUAACUUCCAUUCAUUCACCAAGACCUUCUCUCAACUCUGAACCAUUCGAACCUCUUAAGAACCACUGCUUCCAAAACCCCCUCGCUCUCUCAUCAACCCUGCAAUUAACUACAACAAAAUCACAAAAAGCAAAACCUCUCAGAAUUCACAUAAAAAAAACCUUCCAUCCUGCAACCUCCUGGAAGAACCACAAGAACACAAAGAAACAAAAAAGAGAAUAGGAGAACAAAAAAAGAAAACUCACAAUCCGAAGGAAUUCUAACAAACUUCACAAUCACGAUCUGGAAUCGUCUUCAACCAGAACCGUAACCGAAACCGUGAGCUCCACCUUCAUCAAACCUUCACCAAACCUUCACCUACACCACACUCCAAUCGUCAACAACCGAAACCGUUUUUUCAAUUCUUACUCCACUGAAAUCAGAGAAAAGAGAGGAGCGUACCAAUUCGCAACGGUGCGGUCACGACGAAAUCGCAGUCAGAAAUCACAAACUCCUCCAAUCCUUCAGCCUCAACCUUCAACCACUGCGAAUCCAUCCAAGAACUCCUCUUCAUCAUAACCGCUACCAACCAUAACCUGUAACGGAAUGCCUGAUUGAACCUCAACACUUCACCAUAACUGAA
rnacentral:lncRNA from 1 species